rfam:Ciona savignyi cont_36948, whole genome shotgun sequence.
AAUGGGUUGGCCGAGUGGUUAAGGCGUUGGACUUAAGUUCCAAUGGACAAGUGUCCGCGUGGGUUCGAACCCCACACCCAGUA